GUUUGUCUCAGGUGUUACGACCUGGCCAUUAGCAGAGUCAGGAGUGAGUGGAGUGAAUGCACUACCAAUCCCGCCUGAGCUCUCCUCUCCCGAACCUAAGUCGGAGGCAGGUUCUGAGCGGGAUAGGUGCCUGGUACUAGAUAUAUGUUACCAGUGUGUAUCACAUGGUUUCUCAGAUGGAGCCCAGAGUGAGUGAGACAAAGAAGAAAAGUUAACACAGAAAAGCUUUGGAAUUCCUCUGAGAUCUGGAGCUGGAGAGAUGGCACAGUCUUGCUGUUCUUUCCGAGGACUACAGCAGGCUCCAGCACCCAGGAGGCCACUGUUUCUGCCUCUUCCUCCUCCUCACAGACCAGACCUGUGGCAUAUCUCCCGCUGUCUUAAUAUUUCCUUCUCAAGGUAGUUAACAGAUGCACCUGGCUCCAGGUCGGUUGGAAAGAACACAAAGAAAACGCCACCUUGAAAAAAAGUAUCUGACUUUUUUAAAUUAAAAAUUAUUAUUUAUUUAUUUA